GGAGGAUUGCUGGCCCUUCGGGAUCGUCCUAUGGGGGAUGGUCUCAAACCACCACAUGCUGCGUUGGCUGAAGACCGUCGUGGUGAGCGAUGUGGAAAAGGCGCACGUGAUGCGUCAGGU
rnacentral:ncRNA from 1 species